rnacentral:lncRNA from 1 species
UUAUAGUAUUAUCUAUAAAAUUUUGCAAGAUAUUUAUACACAUUCCUAAACCUUAUGAUAGUUUAUGCUAUAUUAAUCUCCAAGUUCAAAAUUUUCAGUAUUUUAAUUCAUGUUUACAAGCUUUAUUAUUUUUUAUCUAUUUCCUUAUAGAGUUUUAAUCAUCAAGAGCCAAUAGUUGAAAUAUAUUAUUUAUGCUUUGUUAUUGAUAUUUAAGUUCAGAUGAGGAGACAGGUUUUUUUUCUUUUAAAUCCCAUUACAAGGCCCCAUUCCAAGCCACAUACAUGGAAUGAAUCUAGGAACACUAGCUGAAGCGGGAUUGCACCAUUUAACUCAAUCUGUGCAUUGCACACUCAUGCCCAUACUUAAGAGUAUGACCAAACUA